rnacentral:rRNA from 1 species
AUUGAACGCUGGCGGCAGGCUUAACACAUGCAAGUCGAGCGGGGAAGGGUAGCUUGCUACCUGACCUAGCGGCGGACGGGUGAGUAAUGCUUAGGAAUCUGCCUAUUAGUGGGGGACAACAUUCCGAAAGGAAUGCUAAUACCGCAUACGCCCUACGGGGGAAAGCAGGGGAUCUUCGGACCUUGCGCUAAUAGAUGAGCCUAAGUCGGAUUAGCUAGUUGGUGGGGUAAAGGCCUACCAAGGCGACGAUCUGUAGCGGGUCUGAGAGGAUGAUCCGCCACACUGGGACUGAGACACGGCCCAGACUCCUACGGGAGGCAGCAGUGGGGAAUAUUGGACAAUGGGGGGAACCCUGAUCCAGCCAUGCCGCGUGUGUGAAGAAGGCCUUUUGGUUGUAAAGCACUUUAAGCGAGGAGGAGGCUACCGAGAUUAAUACUCUUGGAUAGUGGACGUUACUCGCAGAAUAAGCACCGGCUAACUCUGUGCCAGCAGCCGCAGUAA